rnacentral:RNase_P_RNA from 1 species
UAGGUAAGACAGAUGACUGCCCUAACGUUUACGUUGGGGAGGAAAGUCCGAGCACCGAUCUCAUCGCAAGGUGAGUGAAGGCGGAAGCGGCUAAUGACCGCCCGGAUAUAGCUUCGAGAGCAAUCGAGGAGUAAACCGAGGGAAAGUGCCACAGAGACAAUACUAGUCCACGUAAGUGGAUGAAAGGUGAAAAGUGAAGUCGGGUGGUUUUUCGCAAGAAUUGCUGCCAGCCUUCUCGGCCAUUGGUAACAGUGGUUCGCGGCAAACCCUUCCUGGUGCAAGAACAAAUUCUGAGGUCGUAAGACCAAAGUAUGGUCGUUCGCUUGAGGUGAUGGGCAACCAGCAUCCCAGAGAGAUAGUCAUCCCCCGUUAUUGGCAAGAGUAUCGGGUGACAGAACUCGGCUUAUCGUCUUAUCUCGCAC